CUACGGGGCGCUCCAGUGGGGAAUAUUGCACAAUGGGCGCAAGCCUGAUGCAGCCAUGCCGCGUGUAUGAAGAAGGCCUUCGGGUUGUAAAGUACUUUCAGCGGGGAGGAAGGGAGUAAAGUUAAUACCUUUGCUCAUUGACGUUACCCGCAGAAGAAGCACCGGCUAACUCCGUGCCAGCAGCCGCGGUAAUACGGAGGGGGCAAGCGGUAAUCGGAAUUACUGGGCGUAAAGCGCACGCAGGCGGUUUGUGAAGUCAGAUGUGAAAUCCCCGGGCUCAACCUGGGAACUGCAUCUGAACUGGCACGCUUGAGUCUCGUAGAGGGGGGUAGAAUUCCAGGUGUAGCGGUGAAAUGCGUAGAGAUCUGGAGGAAUACCGGUGGCGAAGGCGGCCCCCUGGACGAAGACUGACGCUCAGGUGCGAAAGCGUGGGGAGCAAACAGGAUUAGAUACCCUAGUAGUC
rnacentral:rRNA from 1 species